AUAUAGAAAAUUGUAAAAUCUCUCACACUGUUGAUCACCUCCAUAACUUCAAUAGUUAUCCAUAUUUUGAGAGAGAAAAGGGAGAGGAAAGUUUUUGCUAAUUGGGAACCUUUCCUGUUUUCAUCCAACCAGUCAAAGGUGACGCUUUUGUUGCAUAUCCUCGUGAAUUUUAAUCUGGGUUUUUGGUUUUACCUACUAAGGACCGCUCUUGCUUUUAUUUUUGGGAAUCUACUGUUGAAGUUUUGCUUUGCGUGUUUUUUUCGGAGGAUGGUGAUGGCUUCUGAUCCAAGUUCUUGUAUGUAGCAAUCUGUUUGUUCUGAUUUGGUGCUUAGAGAUUUGACUUUUUGUCUGUAUUGCGAAGUUAGACAUUCUGAAAUGGUGGAGAGUUACUCAGCUUGGCUGAAUGUUAUCUUACACUUACUGUGGGUUCAACCGGGCACAUUGGGGGCAGGGGCGGGGCAGGGCGCCUCAUGAAGUAUCUCCAGUAUCUCCUCAAAGUAUAUUUAUCUACUUUUUAUGUUCAAAUAUCUGUUUUGACUAAUUGUAUUACGUUUUGGUACAUGAUUAAGUCAUUAAACCCCCAAUCUCUCCCACCCGACCAUCAAUCAGAACAUUAUAAUUUAUAGUCUUGUAUUUUACUAAAGAGAAGUAUUUGUUAAUUUAUGUAUAUACGUGGAUUUGAUCAUUUGGACUGAUGAGAUAGUCAUUGAGCAUGUAUGCUACCAUGAGUAAAUACAUUGUUCAGGUUAGAGUCAUUUGGUUUGAUCUGAAGUGUACACUUGAUGUUAUGAUUUAAGAAGAAGAAUACUGGUUUAGAUGACCUAAAAUUAUUAGGCCUGAGAAAGAUGUACAUCAUUUAUAAUUCAGACAUUGUUUGUUUGAAAAAAGAAAGGUUGCAAAGUGGCGUCGUAUUCUUUUUUUUUUCUGGCAUAAAGAUCUCUUUUUACUGUGUGUCUCUCUUUCUGUAGUUUUGCUGGUUGAUGCAAAAUUAUUAUCUGUCUUAAUGCUCUCUCUCUCCCUCACAAACACACGUACAUUCAUGUUUUAUUGUAAAUAAUUAUCAGUCUUCUUCUUCAAGAUGGUCCUGCUACGUGCCUUAUAUUCUAUGUCGAAGAAUUUGGAAUUCUUAUUGGGUAUUUUCUUUGACAGGCUAUACCAGAGACUACUUUUGUGGGUAUAUUCAUUCAAGUGGGAGGUGUGGAUGGAGAUGGCUUUCUAAAGAACACAUAGAUUUAGCCUGUUGUAUGACAAGAUUAAGAUGUCUUGAUCUGAUUUAACUUUCAACAUUAUAUUCACUAGCCUAUUAUUUUGGAAAAAGGUUUUUGCUGUUGUGAGUGGUAGUGACAGUUGCUAACUUUAUAAGAGAUCCAAAAGAUAGAGACUAACUUAUAUCACCUAAUGGAGGAAGUAGUUCUUUUAUCAUGCGAGAAGCAGAACAUUCCUUAUAGGAAAUUUUCAUUUA
rnacentral:lncRNA from 1 species